rnacentral:misc_RNA from 1 species
AAAGUCGUAACAAGGUUUCCGUAGGUGAACCUGCGGAAGGAUCAUUAUUGAAUAAGUUGGGAGGUUGUAGCUGGCUCUUCGGAGCAUGUGCACACCUUUCAAACUCUUAUCUCAACCACCUGUGCACCCUUUGUAGACCUGGGAAAUAGUCCUCUAUAGAGAAUUGUCUGAGGGUCUGCUGGCUUUUCUAGGAAGGUCGGCUUCCCUUGCUCUUUCCAGUGUCUAUGUUUUUAUUACACACCAUACAGAAUGUUAUGAAUGUCAUUGAUGGGCCUGUCGUAAAACAACAGCGUCCUUUAAUUUUAUACAACUUUCAACAACGGAUCUCUUGGCUCUC